UUAAUAUUUACCUCCUUGUAAUGGUUAACUUUAUAUGUUAACUUACAGGGUAUUUUCGGGUGAGAUGAACAUUUAAAUUGGUGAACUUUGAGAGGAAAAUUAGAAGACAAGUAUCCUCAUUUCCACCUGGAUCCAGUCUUUCUUCCUUGUUACUUUUAUUAACAAUAUCAGUUAAGGUUUAUAUGGAUGUCUUGCUUUAGCCUGUACAAAAACUACUUUGUAUAUGCCUUAUUUUAUUAAUUUUGCUUUCAUCAAAUUCUCUGAUCAUAACUCUAUAUUCUUGUAAGGAAUGCUCAGAAUUAUACUAUUUCACUCCAAAUUUUAUGAUUAUUGAGAAGAAACUGGGUAUAGAAGGUUGUGGGACCAGUUUGUGAUCUAUUGCUUUAAAAUUUGGUCAAGUCACUCAAAUUCUCUAGCUGUACCUAUGAAAUAGCUUUAAUAUUUCAAUCCCCUGCAUUUUCUUUGCAUAAUAUGGAGUUUGAAUUGAAGUGGUCCUGAAUUUGAGUGCUGCAUAUGCUACUUUUGAGAUAUAUGAUCUUGAGCAAGUUGCUUAAUCACAUUAAACCUCAAUUCACUCAUUUUUAAAAUAGAAUAAAUAAUAGCUACUUUACAGUGUUGAGAAAAGAAUAAGAUGAAACAGUUUAUUAAAAACAUAGAAGAGUGCUUAGGACAUAAUAAAGUCUACAUAAAUUGUGCCUAUUGUUAUUACUAAUA